rnacentral:rRNA from 1 species
UACAGAGGUCUCAAGCGUUGUUCGGAAUUACUGGGCGUAAAGGGCGCGUAGGCGGCCUUCUAAGUCAGACGUGAAAUCCCCCGGCUUAACCUGGGAACUGCGUCUGAUACUGGGAGGCUUGAGUAUGGGAGAGGGAUGUAGAAUUCCAGGUGUAGCGGUGAAAUGCGUAGAUAUCUGGAGGAAUACCGGUGGCGAAGGCGGCAUCCUGGACCAUUACUGACGCUGAGGCGCGAAAGCUAGGGGAGCAAACGGG